GAUAAUGAAAUCAAAAGGAACGCAAUUCCAUUUGUUCCUGUUGCCUCUUGAUGACAAAAGUGAUGCAGCACCAACGUGUGGGUUCAGCUGUGAAGCCCAACCAGCAUGGCAGGUUCCAGGCAGAGCAGAUGGCCUCCUGCCAAGUGCAGAGCUGCCGGUACAGCUGUCAGGAAGUGACAGGGCAUUUGCCAAAGUGGUUGACAACCGAUGAGAGCUCAUGCAUUAAGCCCCUUCCACAGCUUUGAGUGCUGUCACCUUGUGGCAGUGUUUCUGGGAACAGCUCUAACUAGAUAAAUUGCCUGAACUGAGACCUCAGAAGGAGUAAACAGACAAGUCCGAGAGACCCUUCUCCACCUCCUCCACCUUCCUGCACCACAGGUGAAGACAGCCACUCUGGCCACCUACACUGCCUCGCUGCCCGUCCUCCAGGCAGGAGAGCCUUAGCCAGAUGCCUACGUGGAGUCUGGCCUCCAUUUUUAGCACCUGAAGCCAGUGCCAUUUCUACAGGAAUGGUGGAUGCAUUUAUGCUCCUUCACCGUUACCAAAGCCUAGUUAUUCCAAACUCAAGCUUCUAUGCCUCAUAAAGCAGAAGUCGCUUAAGCUGAGAGGUGUAACCAAAGAUUCCACCAAUGGAUCAUACUCCUCUUCCACAGUAUAAAAAUUCUUGCUGAAACCAGAUGUCCAGACGGGAUAUACAAGACCCUGCACCUUUUUAUAUCUAGGUGGUCCAAAUGACUGAGUGCUGGCCAAGGGAAGGUAGGAGCAAUGGAAUUUCCUUGUGGGAGUGGUGCAGACAGUGGCAGAAAGCUCUACUCCUUUCCACAAUUGUAAUUCAGACAUACAGACAUCUAUCUGGCAGACUUGGAUUGGAUGGGAAGCCCAAGAAGGAAUUUACUCUAAGGAGCACUGAAGCCUUCAGAUUUCUGAUGGGCACCAGAGGUCUGGAGGGGAGCGCUGGGCUGAGAGCAGGGCUGAUCCUGAUACUGAAGACUUCCCCAAGCCAGUCACAAGAGAAACUGCUUGUCCUUGAAAAGAAAGAAAGAACAAUAUAU
rnacentral:lncRNA from 1 species